UACGUAGGGUGCAAGCGUUAAUCGGAAUUACUGGGCGUAAAGCGUGCGCAGGCGGUUUUUGUAAGUCUGUCGUGAAAUCCCCGGGCUCAACCUGGGAAUUGCGAUGGAGACUGCAAGGCUAGAAUCUGGCAGAGGGGGGUAGAAUUCCACGUGUAGCAGUGAAAUGCGUAGAGAUGUGGAGGAACACCGAUGGCGAAGGCAGCCCCCUGGGUCAAGAUUGACGCUCAUGCACGAAAGC
rnacentral:rRNA from 1 species